rnacentral:rRNA from 1 species
AUUGAACGCUGGCGGCAUGCCUUACACAUGCAAGUCGAACGGCAGCACGGGUGCUUGCACCUGGUGGCGAGUGGCGAACGGGUGAGUAAUACAUCGGAACAUGUCCUGUAGUGGGGGAUAGCCCGGCGAAAGCCGGAUUAAUACCGCAUACGAUCCACGGAUGAAAGCGGGGGACCUUCGGGCCUCGCGCUAUAGGGUUGGCCGAUGGCUGAUUAGCUAGUUGGUGGGGUAAAGGCCUACCAAGGCGACGAUCAGUAGCUGGUCUGAGAGGGCGACCAGCCACACUGGGACUGAGACACGGCCCAGACUCCUACGGGAGGCAGCAGUGGGGAAUUUUGGACAAUGGGCGAAAGCCUGAUCCAGCAAUGCCGCGUGUGUGAAGAAGGCCUUCGGGUUGUAAAGCACUUUUGUCCGGAAAGAAAUCCUUGACUCUAAUACAGUCGGGGGAUGACGGUACCGGAAGAAUAAGCACCGGCUAACUACGUG